rnacentral:rRNA from 1 species
GACGAACGCUGGCGGCGUGCUUAACACAUGCAAGUCGAACGGAAAGGCCCUGCUUUUGUGGGGUGCUCGAGUGGCGAACGGGUGAGUAACACGUGAGUAACCUGCCCUUGACUUUGGGAUAACUUCAGGAAACUGGGGCUAAUACCGGAUAGGAGCUCCUGCUGCAUGGUGGGGGUUGGAAAGUUUCGGCGGUUGGGGAUGGACUCGCGGCUUAUCAGCUUGUUGGUGGGGUAGUGGCUUACCAAGGCUUUGACGGGUAGCCGGCCUGAGAGGGUGACCGGUCACAUUGGGAAUGAGAUACGGCCCAGACUCCUACGGGAGGCAGCAGUGGGGAAUAUUGCACAAUGGGCGGAAGCCUGAUGCAGCAACGCCGCGUGCGGGAUGACGGCCUUCGGGUUGUAAACCGCUUUCGCCUGUGACGAAGCGUGAGUGACGGUAAUGGGUAAAGAAGCACCGGCUAACUACGUG